rnacentral:rRNA from 1 species
AAGAAAAGAGGGAAAAAGAAGCCAGUAUCAGGCACUAAAUAACAGGCCCACAACACUAAGCAAUACGCCACAACUGCAGUGCUAAACAUUGGACAAUCGGAAAAAUCCAGAUCCAGCAAAGAAAGUAUGAAGGAGGUAAAAUACGUGCCAGCCACCGCGGUUAUACGUAAUUCCUAUAGUUAAAUAGCACGGUGAAAAGGGUGGUUAGAAGAAGAACACAAUUGGUUGUAGCUUUGAGCUAGUGGUAAAAAACUAAUCUCACAAGAAACUCUUAUCUCCAAACUAAACAUUUGAAGCCACGAAAACUAAGGCCUAAACCAGGAUUAGAUACCCUGUUAUACUUAGACGUGAACAACCUUAAGCACCAGAGAACUACGAACCUAAAGUUUAAAACUCAAAGGACUUGGCGGUUUUCCAAACCUCCCUGGAGGAGCUUGCCAUUGAAUCGAUAAUCCACGAAACACCUCACCAACUUUUGUAACAACAGCUUGUAUACCAUCGUCGUAAGUCUACUUCUUGAGAAAGUUGACUUUAAGGAAGA